GAUGAACGCUGGCGGCGUGCCUAAUACAUGCAAGUCGAGCGAAGCGGGGACGGGUGAGUAACACGUGGAUAACCUCCUAUAAGACUGGGUUAACUUCGGGAAACCGGAUCUCAACCGGCUACUUAUAGAUGGAUCCGCACUGCAGUAGCUAGGUGGUAAGGUAACGGCUUACCAAGGCCACGAUGCAUAGCCGACCUGAGAGGGUGAUCAGCCACACUGGAACUGAGACACGGUCCAGACUCCUACGGGAGGCAGCAGUAGGGAAUCUUCCGCAAUGGGCGAAAGCCUGACGGAGCAACGCCGCGUGAGUGAUGAAGGUCUUCGGAUUGUAAAACUCUGUUAGUAGGGAAGCGGUACCUAAUCAGAAAGCCACGGCUAACUACGUGCCAGCAGCCGCGGUAAUUC
rnacentral:rRNA from 1 species